ensembl:lncRNA
UAAUCCUAGAGCAGGUAAGAACAGGCUAGAGCAGGUAAGGCAAGGCUUGGUAAACAAUAGAGACUAUGGCAACCGAGCGCAUUACUUCGCAACGACAUAUAGUGACUGAACAGUCUCUUCUGUAGUGUGGUGUGAUUAGUCCACAGGAGAAGGUGACGUGUCUGUGUGUGGUUUUGGUUGUUGUAGUCGUCGGCCAUGUUUGUAGUUUGCCGUGCCUUCUGGGAAAUGGAGUCGCUAGUUUGCCGUGACAUGACGGCUAUCAAACUGGAGCUGCUAUAACCUUAUAGCCUAAUGUUAAGCUCUCACAAACAUAAUCAUAGGAAUAUUGAAGUCAAAUAAUAGAUUAAACCAUGAUGUAGUGCAGACCAGCAGUGUGGAAAAUGUUAGCAUUAGCUUUACCGUAUAACACUGACAUUUCCUUUCCUUUCCUACAAAAUGUAUUUCUGUCUUUUCAGAAUUGUAUUUUAUGUGUCUGCAUUUCAUCAGUUGCAGUAUUUUUUUUUUUCGUUUAUUUUGAUAUAUUUAUCUCUGAGGUACGUAGAUAUGUAUAAUUUAUCCAAACAUUUUAACUUCCUUUAUGUGUCUAAAUAUUCUUAGACAUCAAACGCUCCGUCUCAUCCAUUAUCCAUUUUGAAGGGGCAGACUGAGCUCAUGGUUUCCCUAACACCCCUCAUCAGCAGUAAAUACAGUCCAUUCAGCAGCAGCGUGAUGUCCUCAUCGAGCUGAAAGCACACACCGGAUCCUCUGGGUCCUGCACUAUAGAUCAGGCUGAGACAGCUCAGAGACACGAGCAAACACACAGAGCCGGCUCGCUCAUCACCGAUUCGGCUUCAUUCUUACAGUCCGGUGCAGAAUAAAAACACUACUAAUAGUGUGGUGGAACUGAAGAAGAACAUUUACAACAGUAACGAUAAGCGUUUUCAUUAUAUAUCACCCAUCAGCAGCUCAAAAAUACUUCACAUGGGACUCGAAGAACAUAAAGCAAACAGUUCUGAUCGAUUAAAACCAUUAACUGAAUGAAAAAUGAUCAGAAUGCAAAGGUAUGUAAAAAAAAAACAACAACAUGAAAUGUAAAUCAUAAAAAUAACACAGAAGAAAGGGGAAACAAACAAUGACACAGUUAUCAUCUAUCUUUAAAGAAGGCGUGGUCAGUGUCUCUUUUAUUAUCAGAGAAGGAGGCGUGGCCUCUGUGUCAGUACAAGUGAAAGACACAUGGUCCCUGUGUCAGUACCAGUGAAGGAGGAAUAGUCCUCUUUAAAGGAGGCGUGGCCCCUGUGUCAAUACCAGAGGAAUGGUCCUCCUUAAAGGAGACACGGCCCCUGUGUCAAUACCAGUGAAGGAGGAAUAGUCCUCCUUAAAGGAGGCGUGGCCCCUGUGUCAAUACCAAUGAAGGAGGAAUAGUCCUCCUUAAAGGAGGCGUGGCCCCUGUGUCAAUACCAGUGAAGGAGGAAUGGCCCCUGUGUCAAUACCAGUGAAGCGGGGUUAGCUAAUAUUUUUUUUAUUAUGAGAUUAUAAUAUCAUAAAUAUAAGACCCCUAAACUUAUUUCUAGACAUAUUUAUUAAUGUUAUGCUUGAAAUUGUAUUAUUCCAUUGGCAGAUCACUUUGCUUCUUUCUAGAAAUAAAUGCCAAUGCCAAAAAGAUAUUUUUACUUGCUAGGAUAUUUUUCCAGUAUUUAGUUACUAGGCACUAGCCAAUAUGAGUUUUCUAGCUAAACAUAUUUUCGAAAAUGAUGAUAAAUUGGUAUAAAAACGGCCUUUUUCCAGAUUCCCGUCAAAUUAGAGAACAAACAAAUUCUUUACCCGUUUAGCAAGAAAAACACCGAAACUCCUGAAUCCUCUUUGUUUGCUUUGUUUACUCUUUCACACUCUUACUUUUUCUCUUACCGUAUUGGUUGCUGGCUCCUGCGCGUCACCUUGUACCUGGACUUCUUUCAGGGCUAAAGUUUAUAUAUAGUUUGAUGUAUCUGAGCUGGUGUAUGGUGUAUGAGAAAACAUUUCACAGCACUGACUGUGUAUUAGUGCUACAGGAUUGUCCGUGCGUUUCACAGUAUCUCAAGAACAUCGUAUUGUAGAGUGAAUCAAUAAUCACCUGUUUUUCAUUCAGAUAUGAUGCACACUGUAGCUUUAAUUAAAGUGAAGCCAGGCGUAAUUAAAACGAGAGCCGACGCUGAAAUGUUUUGACCAGCGUCACACUGAGACAACUCAGGGACACGAGCCAACACACUAAGAAGGCCUUUCAGAGACAAAAUUGCUCACCCUCGUGGUGUCUUGUAACAGGGAGUGUAAUUUUGAAGCGUUUGCAUUGCAUUAAU